UACGGAGGGGGCUAGCGUUGUUCGGAAUUACUGGGCGUAAAGGGCGCGUAGGCGGUACUUCAAGUCAGGCGUGAAAGCCCCGGGCUCAACCUGGGAACCGCGCUUGAGACUGGAGAACUAGAGUUCGGGAGAGGAUGGUGGAAUUCCCAGUGUAGAGGUGAAAUUCGUAGAUAUUGGGAAGAACACCGAUGGCGAAGGCAGCCAUCUGGACCGACACUGACGCUGAGGCGCGAAAGCGUGGGGAGCAAACAGG
rnacentral:rRNA from 1 species